GUGAAUCAUCAAAUCUUUGAACGCAAAUUGCACUCUCCGGUUUUCCGGGAGAGUAUGCCUGUUUGAGGGUCAGCCUAAAAAAAAUCGAUAUUGUUGCUGGUUUGUGGUGACUUUCGUCGGAGAUGGGUCAUCUUAAAUCUCGGAUUAAGCGACUUAAUAAUAUUCUUUACGAUUCUAAGAUUGUUUCUAAGAUUUU
rnacentral:misc_RNA from 1 species